AGUGAACGCUGGCGGUAGGCCUAACACAUGCAAGUCGAACGGCAGCACAGUAAGAGCUUGCUCUUACGGGUGGCGAGUGGCGGACGGGUGAGGAAUACAUCGGAAUCUACUUUUUCGUGGGGGAUAACGUAGGGAAUCUUACGCUAAUACCGCAUACGACCUACGGGUGAAAGCAGGGGAUCUUCGGACCUUGCGCGAUUGAAUGAGCCGCUGUCGGAUUAGCUAGUUGGCGGGGUAAAGGCCCACCAAGGCGACGAUCCGUAGCUGGUCUGAGAGGAUGAUCAGCCACACUGGAACUGGGACGCACUCCAGACUCCUACGGGAGGCAGCAGUGGCGAAUAGUAGACAGUGGACGCAAACCUGAUCCAGCCAUACCGCGUGGGUGAAGGAGGCCUUCGGGUUGUAAAGCCCUUUUGUUGGGAAAGAAAAGCAGCAGGGUAAUACCCCGCUGUUCUGACGGUACCCAAAGAAUAAGCACCGGCUAACUUCGUG
rnacentral:rRNA from 1 species